rnacentral:piRNA from 1 species
UUUAGGCCAAGCUCAUGCUUCACAAG